GAUCCUACGGGGGGCAGCAGUGGGGGAUAUUGCACAAUGGGGGGAACCCUGAUGCAGCGACGCCGCGUGGGUGAAGGAGCGUUUCGGCGCGUAAAGCCCUAUCGACAGGGAAGAAGGAGGACGGUACCUGACUAAGAAGCCCCGGCUAACUACGUGCCAGCAGCCGCGGUAAUACGUAGGGGGCAAGCGUUAUCCGGAUUUACUGGGUGUAAAGGGGGCGCAGACGGCAGCGCAAGCCAGGAGUGAAAGCCCGGGGCCCAACCCCGGGACUGCUUUUGGAACUGCGUGUCUUGAGUGAUGGAGAG
rnacentral:rRNA from 1 species